rnacentral:lncRNA from 1 species
CAAGGGUGGAGCUCGGGAGAAGGACACUUUGAAAGAGGGGAGGAGCCUCAACACGGUUAGGCCCUGCUGGGCUGCAGAGCUGCAAAAGGGACGCAAAAGGGGUGAGCCCUGCUGGCCAGGGCCCAGAGGCUGGACGCUAUGGAGCAGGUGGAUUCCUCCUCCACAGCUGCUGCAGGAAGGCAGGGAAGAGAGAGCAGUCUGACAGGUUCCUCCAGCUGAAAGAUGCUGAAGUGAGAGGGCAGCCACACAGCAUCAGGAAGAGCAAUGUUGAGGUGGAGAGAGGAGCAGAUGAGCCCUGAGGACUCACCCCAAUGUCCCACACUCUACCCAUGAAAAUGAUGCAACAUACUUUAAAAUUUUGGGCAACAACUCAGAACCACCCACUAACAACCAUACACCCUGACAUAACCUUCUAAGCUGCUGCAGAAGGGACAGAGGGAGACGCUGCCUCUGGUCAUUAUUCUGAGCGCUGUAUUAUGAACAUGAUGACAGAAUGCACUCAACCUGCUUUAGAAGUUUGAUCUUUGUGUGCCAGUAUUUCUGAACACUUAGCCAAGGAUGGAUGGCUCAAUUCUAGAACAGCUCAAGCUUUCCUGAGAACGCCUGCUCAAAGGCAUAUUUGUUAAGGAGUAUUUUUUAUGCAGUUAGGCCAAGGUGCCAUAAAAAUGACCGAAGCAACAAAUCUCCAUGUAUAUUACACACUAGGCAAGCUUCAAGGCCAACCCAGGCCCAAUGGGGGUCUGAAAAACACGAGCAAAAUCAAUCAACUCUGGGCAUUGCUCCUUAGGAUGUCAGAGUGUGCCCACAUGUAGCGACCACUGGGUGGCCACUGUUUGUCCUCUGCCUUGGCACUCGGUCAGUAUUUAACAUAUGUUUAUUGAAUGAAUGUCUGCAUCCUGUAGGAAGAAAUCUGAAUUGUAUUCAUCUUACUCUGUAUAAUAUGACAGACUUUAAGAAAUAAUAAAAUAAAGCAAAGCUUUUAAAAGCUGAUAAAUC